CUACCACCCUAAGGAGUAGCUUAUCUAUGAGUCUAGGAAGGACAUGAACAUGCUAUUGUUUUCCCCAUGUUAUCUUCUGAAUUUCAACCCUUCCUCAAAGAGCAGAGGACUGGACAGUUAGGGCAAGGAGCAUGUGGUUACAAAGAGGUCAGUGGAGGUCAUUAUUUUAUCCAACUGAUACAGUCACUUUCAAAGUAUGAAGAUUCCCAUGGACUUCCCAGGGGCCAGUGCUCUCAAGGUCCCUCCUGGCUUCAGGCCCCUACUUUCCCUGAAUUACAAAGCCUCAGCACAUUUAUUGCUGUGUGUGGAUAAUUUGUGGGAAGCCCUAGGCUCUGGGAAGACAUGUCACAAACAUCUGGAAAUGCAUUGGCAGCUUUUUCUCUCCAGAAAUCCUUUGGUCAAGUCUGAAAUCAUGGCUCUCCUUUCUCUUAGGCUCUGUUCUCAGACUCCAAGGGCUGAGGUGGUCUUUACUGACGUUGCUGAUCCUGUGUCGCCAACCUCACCUUCUGUACCUGUGUUGCCAACUCAGGCCUUCUGGGACACUGCUGAUGAGUCUGGGUGAGUUCAGGACCUGAUUAUCACUAGACACUGGAGGUGCAUCACACAAGAACUUUAUCAUCAUUUAUCAUCCACAGAAUGGAGAGUCCAAGGUCAAGAGCCAAGUGCUCCUGGAUAUUUGUCUGUCCUCCCAGUGUAUUGGCCCGCUGUCUCAUCCAUCUUUGUUAGUGACCAGGCAAGACACCAUAAAUUGUCUCUACCCAAGUGUUUUUCCCUCUAAAUAACAUAAGGAAUAUUGAUG
rnacentral:lncRNA from 1 species